AACAGCUCAAAUUUGAAAUCUGGCCCUCUCAGGGUCCGAGUUGUAAUUUGCAGAGGAUGCUUCGGGUUCGGCUCCGGUCUAAGUUCCUUGGAACAGGACGUCACAGAGGGUGAGAAUCCCGUAUGUGACCGGCGGCCACGCCCGUGUGAAGCUCCUUCGACGAGUCGAGUUGUUUGGGAAUGCAGCUCAAAAUGGGUGGUAAAUUUCAUCUAAAGCUAAAUAUUGGCCAGAGACCGAUAGCGCACAAGUAGAGUGAUCGAAAGAUGAAAAGCACUUUGGAAAGAGAGUCAAACAGUACGUGAAAUUGUUGAAAGGGAAGCGCUUGCAACCAGACUUGCCCGCGGGCGAUCAACCGGUAUUCUUACCGGUGCACUCGCCCGUGGUCAGGCCAGCAUCGGUUUGGGCGGCUGGAUAAAGUCCACUGGAAUGUAGCUCCUCUCGGGGAGUGUUAUAGCCAGAGGUGCCAUGCAGCCCGCCUGGACCGAGGACCGCGCUUCGGCUAGGAUGCUGGCGUAAUGGUUGUAAGCGACCCGUCUUGAAACACGGACCAAGGAGUCUAACAUCUAUGCGAGUGUUUGGGUGUCAAACCCAUGCGCGUAAUGAAAGUGAACGGAGGUGGGAACCCUCCAGGGUGCACCAUCGACCGAUCCUGAUGUCUUCGGAUGGAUUUGAGUAAGAGCAUAGCUGUUGGGACCCGAAAGAUGGUGAACUAUGCCUGAAUAGGGUGAAGCCAGAGGAAACUCUGGUGGAGGCUCGCAGCGGUUCUGACGUGCAAAUCGAUCGUCAAAUUUGGGUAUAGGGGCGAAAGACUAAUCGAACCAUCUAGUUGCUGGUUCCUGCCGAAGUUUCCCUCAGGAUAGCAGUAACGUUUUCAGUUUUAUGAGGUAGAGNGAAUGAUUAGGGGCCUUGGGGUUGAAACAACCUUAACCCAUUCUCAAACUUCGAAUAUGUAAGAAGUCCUUGUUACUUAGUUGAACGUGGACAUUUGAAUGUACCGUUACUAGUGGGCCAUUUUUGGUAAGCAGAACUGGCGAUGCGGGAUGAACCGAACGCGAGGUUAAGGUGCCGGAAUGCACGCUCAUCAGACACCACAAAAGGUGUUGAUUCAUCUAGACAGCCGGACGGUGGCCAUGGAAGUCGGAAUCCGCUAAGGAAUGUGUAACAACUCACCGGCCGAAUGAAUCAGCCCUGAAAAUGGAUGGCGCUCAAGCGUGCUACCCAUACCUCGCCGCCA
rnacentral:rRNA from 1 species